GAUGAAGAACGUAGCGAAAUGCGAUACGUAAUGUGAAUUGCAGAAUUCAGUGAAUCAUCGAAUCUUUGAACGCAUAUUGCGCUCUUUGGUAUUCCGAAGAGCAUGCUUGUUUGAGUAUCAGUAAACACCUCAAAGACUUCAAUUUGUUUUGAAUGGCUUUGGACUUGAGCAAUCCCAACACCAGUCUUUACGAUCGGUGGAGGGUUGCUUGAAAUGCAGGUGCAGCUGGACAUUCUCCUGAGCUAAAAGCAUAUUUAUUUAGUCCCGUCAAACGGAUUAUUACUUUUGCUGCAGCUAACAUAAAGGGAGUUUGACCGUAUUGGCUGACUGAUGCAGGAUUUCACAAGGGUCGGCAACGAUUCUUGUAAAACUCGAUCUCAAAUCAAGUAAGACUACCCGCUGAACUUAAGCAUAUCAAUAAGCGGGGA
rnacentral:misc_RNA from 1 species